rnacentral:misc_RNA from 1 species
GGAGAUUGGCUUGAGCCACAUGGUACAGCCUAACUUGAACCCCCAAGCUCAGUCCCCGAUCUCAAACCUCAACUUUAGCUGUCUCGGAAUGGAAAGUGGACCUGUUAAUUCUGUUCUGGUCUCUGAUGGCGGUAGCAAUGCAAAUCUCCAUGGUCAGGAUGUGUUUCAGAUUGGACCUGAAGGGUCAUCCACUAGCGGAUCUCUCCAGCCACUUUCCUUCUCUUGGGAGUAAUUUGCACACCAUUUCCAAAUCUUGUGCAUUCUGGCUUUUGUGAUCGAAUGCUUUAAAUUUGAAAAAUAAAGGAUUUUAUGUCCUAAACUAUUGGAUUGCUGUGACAUUGUUAUGAUGCUCCUGAAAUGUGGGAUGGAUCCCUACUCAGACAACUGUGGGGAUUGUAAAAUGCCACUGUAUUGUAUACAUGCGUUUUCUCCCUUUCUUCUGUUCAUUAAACAUUAAGCUUCCAAUGUUGUAAGACGAAUGCAUUUUCUGAAGAAAAUAAGUGCAUUAU